AUGGCGGCCGGGCUGGGGCCGUGGCUGCUGGCCUUGGCCUUGGGGCCGGCGGGACUGUGUGCACAGUGGAGACUGGAAGUGUCUGGCGGAGGUGUGCGAGCACCUGGGGAGUCCAUGCAGCUCUCCUGCCAGGGAUCCGGCUUCAGCUUUGGAAAUUACCAUGUACUGUGGUACCGUCAGGCACUCAGUCGCUGUAUCGUGUGGCUGUCCGUCCUUGACACUGGCUCAUAUGUUAGAUUGAGCCCAGAGUUGGAGGAUCGAGUGUCGUUUUCUCGAGACAAUUUGCAAUCUGUGUCCUAUCUGACUUUCCGUGCCCUGCGCCCACACGACUCAGCGCGCUACUUCUGUGCGGUUGACACGAGAACAGGAAAUCCUGCAGAGCUGUAACAAAAAUGCCCUUCUUAGACACAGCCGUGGCUGCAGAACCGCAGUGCUGGCAGGAGCUGGAGCAUCUCUGGGCUUCUCCUGGAUUGUGAGGGAAUGUCACUGCACACCACAGAUGACCCUGUCCUUUCUGCCAGGUCUUCUGUCACUUCUCCUGAGUAACAAAAGCAGUGUUGUGACCUGAGGAUUAUAUUCAGCAUAUUUCUGUUCACACUGUCAGCCCGGCCACUUUACCUGCCUUCUUACCUGCAGCAUGUCUGCACCUGCUUUUGAUUUCCUUCUUUUCUUGUGUACUCAAAAGCACUUGGGCACUUCUAGCAACAGCAUUGCCUGCUUCCAUCACCUGUGUGGAUGGCUUUUGCCAUGUUUCUCUGUGAGCAAAACAGUGACUGAAUAGAUCUGAUGUGGUUUCAGGGGCAUUUCAGAGUGAUGGAAUGCAGCAGAUGCUGUCUGUAGCGUUGCAGGGUACAGCUGUUCCUGACAGACUUACACUGUUCUUUCUGUUCCUGUGUGAGUCUCAGUAGAUUCUUCCUGGUGCAAAGUUUGGUAUAUUCCAAUGUUAGCAUUGUCAUUUAAGUGCACAAAAUCCAAUAUUCAGCUCUGCACUCAGGUUCCUGUUCAAAAUCCACUGAUUCAUAGGGUUAAGCUGCUCCAGACACUCUUCAUUUCAUGAUGUGACAUCUGCACGGUCUUCUGGAAUAUGGCUUGUCUUCCUUGUCGGUGUUCCCACUGCUGAAACACAAAUCCCACUGCCUCACGGUGUUCACAUUCAACUUUAGGUCUCCAUAAAUGUUCAGCAGGUGUCAGUGAAUGCCAAGGGUGCAAUUCUUUCCAUGUGGAGCAAUUCAACAUCACACCUUUGCCUCAUACGCACUUACGUGGCAGACUCCAUUCUAUCCGACAGCCUCUCUGUUACCAUGUGUUACACAGCAACAGAAUUGAAUGGAAUGGAAUGGAAUACCAACAGGAGUUCAACGUGUACUGCCAUGCUGCCAACAUCCACCUCUGUCUGCAUGUGCCUGCAUAGGAAAUAGAUGGCACUGUUGUGGAGCAGCCCUUGUACUUACAACUGCAAUGCUUCCUGUACUUGCAAGGCUCGGUACCAGCAGUAUCCUGGCAGGCCCCUGCAGUAUUGGCUCCGAGCUCACUGGAACAGCUCUGCAGCUGUGGACCAAAAAGUGACUGACAGGCAAUCCAGUAUUCUCAAUGUUUCUUUCUAGCAGCCUUGAAUCAGAUGGUGUUGUGCAGCAGCAGGUGCAGAAAGCAGGCCUUUCCACAAUAUGUAACGAUACUGUCAUGGUUUUGUGAUUUUUGGCUUUCGGUAUUCCACAUCAUAACAUCAUGUGGGGCACUGGGACUUUAACU